rfam:Ovis aries breed Texel chromosome 3, whole genome shotgun sequence.
UCCCUGAUAGCUCAGUUGGUAAAGAAUCCGCCUGCAACGCAGGAGACACUGGUUCAAUUCCUGGUCAGGAAG